GAUGAACGCUGGCGGCGUGCCUAACACAUGCAAGUCGAGCGAUUCUCCUCGGAGAAGAGCGGCGGACGGGUGAGUAACGCGUGGGUAACCUGCCCUGUACACACGGAUAACAUACCGAAAGGUAUGCUAAUACGGGAUAACAUGAGAAAGUCACAUGGCUUUCUUAUCAAAGCUUUUGCGGCACAGGAUGGACCCGCGUCUGAUUAGCUAGUUGGUAAGGUAACGGCUUACCAAGGCGACGAUCAGUAGCCGACCUGAGAGGGUGAUCGGCCACAUUGGAACUGAGACACGGUCCAAACUCCUACGGGAGGCAGCAGUGGGGAAUAUUGCACAAUGGGCGAAAGCCUGAUGCAGCAACGCCGCGUGAGCGAUGAAGGCCUUCGGGUCGUAAAGCUCUGUCCUCAAGGAAGAUAAUGACGGUACUUGAGGAGAAAGCCCCGGCUAACUACGUGCCAGCAGCCGCGGUAAUACGUAGGGGGCUAGCGUUAUCCGGAAUUACUGGGCGUAAAGGGUGCGUAGGUGGUUUCUUAAGUCAGAGGUGAAAGGCUACGGCUCAACCGUAGUAAGCCUUUGAAACUGAGAAACUUGAGUGCAGGAGAGGAGAGUAGAAUUCCUAGUGUAGCGGUGAAAUGCGUAGAUAUUAGGAGGAAUACCAGUUGCGAAGGCGGCUCUCUGGACUGUAACUGACACUGAGGCACGAAAGCGUGGGGAGCAAACAGGAUUAGAUACCCUGGUAGUCCACGCCGUAAACGAUGAGUACUAGCUGUCGGAGGUUACCCCCUUCGGUGGCGCAGCUAACGCAUUAAGUACUCCGCCUGGGAAGUACGCUCGCAAGAGUGAAACUCAAAGGAAUUUGACGGGGACCCGCACAAGUAGCGGAGCAUGUGGUUUA
rnacentral:rRNA from 1 species